AUACCUUUCUUGACCUUUCGCCUAAGAUUAAGUGUAGUGUAGCAUCUGUUCUUAUCGGUUUAAUAAUUGAAACGUGGGCCAAUAUUAGAUGAAUUUUUCUGGACAGAAGGCCCAUGACAGUAGCCUACUACCGGGGCUUUCGAGCGUCGUCCAAGCGUUGCACUGCUACGAUGGCCUGGCACACCCCAG